GACGAACGCUGGCGGCAUGCCUAACACAUGCAAGUCUAGGGGUAGCAAUACCACUGGCGCACGGGUGAGUAACACGUAGGUUAUCUGCCCCCAUCACAGACGUAACCCCGGGAAACCGGGGCUAAUAUCUGAUGAGGUCGCGAGAUCAAAGCUUCGGCGGAUGGGGAUGAGCCUGCGGCUGAUUAGCUAGUUGGUGAGGUAAUGGCUCACCAAGGCGACGAUCAGUAGCUGGUCUGAGAGGACGAACAGCCACACUGGAACUGAGACACGGUCCAGACUCCUACGGGAGGCAGCAGUGAGGAAUAUUGGUCAAUGGGAGCAAUCCUGAACCAGCAAUGCCGCGUGUGGGAUGACAGGGCUUCGCCUUGUAAACCACUGUCGGACGGGACGAAAGGAGGCCUCGGGCCUCUGGGACGGUACCGUCAAAGGAAGGGUCGGCUAACUACGUGCCAGCAGCCGCGGUAAU
rnacentral:rRNA from 1 species